GAGAUGAGCCAGAAGGAGGGAGGGGUGGCGGCGCACGCGUGAGGAGGAAAACGAGCGAGGGGGCUAGGGCGCUCGGCAGCGAGAUGGUGCGGCUCACCAAGGAGGCAUUACCCCCAUGGCUAGGAAGGAUUUCGGUGGUUGGGACGCUAGGGGAGUCUUUGUUUUCGUCACAGAUCCGAGAUGAAGGAUGCUGAGCAUGGUACCAUGAGGAGGGCGAAUAGUGGGUGAAGUAAUUGGCAACUUCCACAUCAGUUCGAGGAGGUGCUCUCGUGGAUACAAAUUGACUGCAAGGUCUCCCUUAGGUACUUCCUGCGGCACCACCUUCUUAGCUCGAUUGGCUAAGUUUAAAAGUUUAGAAUUCUGUAACUGUUUUUCUGCUUCUUCGAACAAAUGUCCCAAAUCAGUCUACCUGUGUAUCUGUUAGUGCUUUUGGGCAAGAACUUCGUUCUGGGCCACAGAUGUAUGUUUGUAAGGUAAAAUUGCGUGAGCGAGGAAAUACUGAUUACUUAUGUGGCAUGUUCAGUUGAGGGAGCUUUGUGUGGAUUUGACAUUUCAUUUAAAGCAUAAUUUAUAUCAUUGCAAUCUGCGAAGUUUU